rnacentral:rRNA from 1 species
UACGUAGGGACCAAGCGUUGUCCGGAUUUAUUGGGCGUAAAGAGCUCGUAGGCGGCCCUCCACGUCGGAUGUGAAAGCUCAGGGCUCAACCCUGAGAUGCCAUUCGAUACGGGAAGGCUAGAGGUAGGUAGGGGAAAGUGGAAUUCCUGGUGUAGCGGUGAAAUGCGCAGAUAUCAGGAGGAACACCAAUGGCGAAGGCAGCUCGCUGGGACGGUACUGACGCUGAGACGCGAAAGCGUGGGGAGCAAACAGG